UACGUAGGGGGCAAGCGUUUGUCCGGAAUCAUUGGGCGUAAAGGGCCAGUAGGCGGCCAACUAAGUCGGAUGUGAAAUCCCCAGGCUCAACUUGGGAACUGCAUCCGAUACUGGAUGGCUUGAAUUCGGGAGAGGGAUGCAGAAUUCCAGGUGUAGCGGUGAAAUGCGUAGAUAUCGUAAGGAAGACCAGUGGCGAAGGCGGG
rnacentral:rRNA from 1 species